GGGGAUGUGGCUCAGUGAUAGAGCACUUGCCUAGCAUGCAUGAGGCCCUGGGUUCUAUCUCCA
rnacentral:tRNA from 1 species